rnacentral:lncRNA from 1 species
AGAGCAUGAGGGAAGAUGCGAAGAUGAACAAACACAUUGUAGCAAAAGGAAGAAACCAUGCAAUGUUUCAUGUUCAAAGCUAUCAAAGAAUCCAUCACGUGUUGCGGGUUACAGAUCAAGAAAAGAAGAACCAAGGCACUCUAGCAAAAAGAGCAAACCUUCAUCAGUUCCAUGUUCAAAGCAAGCAAAGGGGCCAUUGCACUCCAAAGAUCUUGAUGAUGUCAUGUGGUGACGCACAUUGAGCCGUCAACAUCGGCACACAAAGGACAGGCUACAGUAGAGCCAAGACGCGUUAUAGGAGGCUCAAUCAUCUCAGGUUUUUUCAAUUAAUUUAGCAUGCAUGUUAUCCCUUUUGAAUAGCUGCUUGUUUCAUGGGUUGUUAUCUAGGAGAAUUGCUAGGUGGAUUGUUAUGCUCCUGGGAGGCGAAGCAUUCAGCAAGCUGUGUUGAUGAUCGGUCAUUGCCUCCCGUGUUGCAGCAUCAUGCUUACUAGAGAAGUGUGACAAUUGCCAUUUUGUGAUCCAUAACAUAUUAUCACGUAGGUCUUAGUCUUACAAUCCUGAAGGUCUGGGCAUGCAUGUGGGUUUCUUUUGUUAAUUAGGAUGUUACUAGUUAGUGACUGUCUGGCAGACUGCAUGUGUAAUCAUUCCGUGAUGGUCUCAUGGCUAGUUGAUGGAUAGCUACUAGAUCAUCUUGUGGGUUUUAACUUUUAACGCUUGAGAACAAGAGGAUCGAAGCGGCGGAGGUGGAGGAUCUAAAACAGUUUCAUUUUGUUUCAGAAUUUCAACUCAAACGUCAAGAAUGCAAGAAUAUCAAAUUUUGCAUUCCCAAAUUGAAUCUGUAUAUUCUAACUACUAUUAUUCUUGAAAAAAAUUACAUUGUUGAAUCAUUAUAACUGAGCAUCUUCAGAAUUCAGUAUCUAUUAUGGGUAAGACAAGAAUGGUAAGCACAUCUAAGCAAACUAAUAAGCUUUACAGGGCACUACACAAUAUACUUGUAAAAAUCUUUUCUAAUAUCUCAGUGAUCCUAUAAUAUCUCAUCUCUUAUUCUAAUUUAGAGGCAUACGUGCACACUAUGUUACUUUUAUACUACCUACAAGAUGGCGCCAGGGCAUGGCAGCGUGGUGAUGCGCACAGAUGCCCAAUGGUGGCGGGAUGACUUGUGCAAGAUGGCGGUGGCAGUGAUUGUGUGCCCGUUGUCUAGACAAACAUGCUGGCGGUUCGUCAGAGCUUGGCGACGCGUGAAGAACAGGUU